rnacentral:tRNA from 1 species
GAUAAGAUGGCUGAGGUUUGAGGCGGUAGAUUGUAAAUUUAUUAACGAGGUUGUUUCCUCUCUUAUCA